rnacentral:rRNA from 1 species
GAAAUGCGAUAAGUAAUGUGAAUUGCAGAAUUCAGUGAAUCAUCGAAUCUUUGAACGCACCUUGCGCUCCUUGGUAUUCCGAGGAGCAUGCCUGUUUGAGUGUCAUGAAAUUCUCAAACCCCUUAUCUUUAUUGACMAAGGGGAUUUGGAUGUGGAAGCUUUGCGGGUCUCUGACGAGAUCGGCUCUUCURAAAUGCAUUAGCAAGGACCUAUUCUUUUGCUGGCCCUUGGCGUGAUAAUUAUCUACGCUAUUGGCUCGAGAUGUGUGGUCUGGCUCUCUAAUGGUCUUCGGACAAACUUUAUGACAUCUUUGACCUCAAAUCAGGUAGGAUUACCCGCUGAACUUAA